CACUGUGUCCAGCCACGGAUCAUUUCUGUAGUUUGUUACUAGAGCAGUUUCUCUGAACGUUUGGACCACCACAAACCACAAGGAGGUGGUACAGUUUUCUCUUCUGAGCUUGAAGCUGGCUCUUGGUGUUGCUUUGCUGCAACUGUCAUUUCCAUUGUUGGUCGUUCUCUUCCUCUGGGAGAGUGAGAGGGAGAGGACACAGUCUGAGUGGU
rnacentral:snoRNA from 1 species